rnacentral:rRNA from 1 species
GACGAACGCUGGCGGCGUGCUUAACACAUGCAAGUCGAACGGAAAGGCGCUGCUUUUGUGGGGUGCUCGAGUGGCGAACAGGUGAGUAAAACGUGUGUAACAUGCCCUUGACUUUGGGAUAACUUCUGGAAACUGCGGCUAAUACCCGAUAGGAGAUCCUGCUGCAUAGGGGGGGAUGGAAAGUUUCGGCGGUUGGGGAUGGUCUAGAGGCUUAUCAGCUUGUUGGGGAGGUAGUGGCUUACCAAGGCUUUGACGGGUAGCCGGCCUGAGAGGGUGACCGGCCACAUUGGGACUGAGAGACGGCCCAGACUCCUACGGUAGGCAGCAGUGGGGAAUAUUGCGCAAUGGGCGGAAGCCUGAUGCAGCAACGCCGCGUGCGGGAUGACGGCCUUCGGGGUGUAAACCGCUUUCGCCGGUGACGAAGCGUGAGUGACGGUAAUGGGUAAAGAAGCACCGGCUAACUACGUG